AAACCAGCACCUCAAGUGGUCAGGAUGAUUAUUGGGCCUAAAGCAUCCGUAGCCUGUUCUAUAAGUUUCCGGUUAAAUCCAUUAGCUCAACUAAUGGGCUGCCGAAAAUACUGUAGAACUAGGGAGUGGGAGAGGUAGACGGUAUUCGGUAGGAAGGGGUAAAAUCCUUUGAUCUAUUGAGGACCACCUGUGGCGAAGGCGGUCUACCAGAACACGUUCGACGGUGAGGGAUGAAAGCUGGGGGAGCAAACCGGAUUAGAUACCCGAGUAGUCC
rnacentral:rRNA from 1 species